rnacentral:lncRNA from 1 species
GAACAGCCCACUCCAAACGCUCUUGCUUUUCCAUGUUCCCUGCAAGUAAAAGCCCAUUUGGGAACCAAGUUACCAGUUCGGCAGUGUUUUCAGUUAUUCUCAAGCAAUACUAUAAUCUGCUUCCUAGGAGAAAAAUACUGCUUGCCAUAGCUGAAACAUGCUCAAUUGGUAGUUCUCUGGGAGAAACUACUCCAUUUGCUAAAAUUUAAAUACCCGCAGAGUAAAAACAAAAGCAGCUAAUAAGAAAUGUGUCAGUGAAAUUGAACAGAAGCUAGAAAAGUCCCAUUUCUUGUUUUAUUUUAUCUUUUCAAAAGCUUGGCUCCACAGCAAUUUACCCAUGUUAUCAUUCAUCCUUUGUAUCAUUAGCAUUUGGGAAAAUGCCUGAAACUGUCACCACGAGACAACCAACAUGUAGAAACUAGACAUGUAGUUUGGGGAAAUUAGAAAAUAAAACUCUUAAGGAGGAGGGUUGAACAUUCCAUUAAACAUAUAGAUGAUGCUUUAAAAAAAAAAUCCUUCCUGCCUUCAAGGGUUGCUGGCUACUGGAAUGUCAUCAUCAAUUAGCCUUUUUUGCAUGCUCUGUGUUGCAAAACCAAUUAUUCUGACAGUCCCUGUCCGUGGAACAUGGGGACCACUGAUGUGGGCAGAAAAAGCAAGGGCCAGUUUUGAACUAAACGUAUAUUAAAGCAGGCACCGUUUUUGUAUAUAUAUUACUUAAUAAAUUUUAUUCCAUUUAUAACAAAAGUCAUUGGUAUUCAUUCAUUCAUUCAAGCCAAUCUACAUCAUACACAAGGUAGGGGGCCUAGUGGAGGGGGGUGAUUCCAGAACUGGUUGUGGCUGUGCCCAUGGUAGGCUUAGUUCUAGUCUAGUGGAAGUGUUAAGUCAUGGUCUUAAAAAGGAAAACAAAGUGGAAGGCUGUGUGUUCCAAAAGAGGGUGUGCUUUCACUGAAAGUGGGUAAGGAAAACAGUGGGGAGUAGGGAGUAGAAGGAUAAGGAAAACAUAGCAGUUAAUAUUUUCCUGAACCAGGCAAACAUAGCUUAUGUCUUUAUAUCUUAUCUUAGAAAUGGAUUUCAUGUGGUAGGAACUGUAAUUACUCAUCUUUGAACACGAGGGAAUGGAGACUUAGAAAGUGUCAAGAGUUUACUGGCCCUGGGACUAUGGCUACUUUUAGCGCUGGGGAUCACCCUGGAGCCUGUUGGACUUCGUGGUACUUCAUUUUAUGUCUAGUCUACUCUGGAGUUGAGGUCUCAGGGUAAAGAAGAAAUUAUGAUUGUGGUUUCGGGAUCUUGCAGAUUGCGCUAGGUCAAGGAACCUUGAGAAUUCCAUGCAUAUUCAAAGAGUAAGGCAGAGGGCAAGAAGCAUGGAGCUGAUGUGUUAUAAGGUUAUAUGUGGUAUGAGACUCUCAACAUGCCAAGGAAGGCUUCCUAGAAGAGGUGAGGGCAUAGCUGGACCUUUGCAAGCAGGACCUAGACCAAAAUGAGGAUAAGGGAAUCCUAGAGAAGGAAGAGAGCUGGGGAAAUAAAACCAAUCCCGCAUCCACUGGAAGGGGAGCAUUGCUUCCAAUUCAGAUAAUUGAGAAAAGACUUCUCUGUACCAGUGUCUGACGUGAGGUGAGGAGACCAAGAAAUAAUACCAUCAAGGUUGUCAUACCAGAGGAGAUCUGGGCUCUUGGGGUGGGAAGAGAUAGUUUAGAGAGGUGGUUGGUGGUCGACAGGAAAAGCUGAGCUGCAUCCUUGGUCUCCACUGGCCCCUCUCUAUUUUUGGAUAUGCACAGUGGACAUUUUCCUAGUCUUGACAAAUUCAGUUUCAAAUUUUCUCUUGUCCCACCUGACUUCCAAAUAGAAUGUAUUUCUGGCCCCUCUCAGAGCCAGCACUUCAGAGGACAAGUUAAAAGAAGAUUGGGGAUAUUAGUGUGCCACACUGAUUGUCCGGCUGUUGUCAUCUCAUUCUACAUUUUAGAUUCAUUUACCUGGUCUGUAGUUGUCCUCCCUUCACUGGUCAACCAUACCAAUAAAUGCAUUCAGUGUUGGAAAGUUCUUUUCUCUCUGAACAUGGCAUACUCCAUUGAGGGUUAGGGCAGUGGGAGAGAGGUCCGAUUGUUGAAAGUAGGAUAUAGGAUCUGGAAAUCUUGAAUAUAGUGUGGACAUAGAACUCAACCAUAGCUUAGACAAAGAAACAAGUUUGCUUUUGUGAUAACUUGGAUAUGUCCUACACAAAUCAGAGAAGUGUGGUCUAGACAGAAGAGGGAAGAGUUGGAUUUUCUAAAUAGCUCUUACUCUUCCAUCUGAAAUUUGGCUCUGUGAUACAUGACUUACAUAUUCUAGUUGGAUGAUACAUAAAUGCACUGAAUUCUAAAGAGCUCAGCUCUGUAUGUAAUGGUGGUAACUCCUGGCGUUCACAGGUGGAAUGAGCUCCUGGAGUUGAGGACCACUGACAUAAUUUAGAGAAACAGAACACAGUCAGCAGGAGCAUACGCAUACCCUCAAAUGUGCCUUUAAAAGACUUGGGGCAGCAGGAAAUUUCUUUAGUCCUUCACCUCAUUUCUGGAAUGGUGAGGAGACUGACCUGACUUCAGGUGGGUUUCUCUUGGGCAGGUAGGGAUCCAUGAUUUCUUCUCUUGCUACCUUUUAACAUCUUAGAUGUCUUAUGGGUCAAUAAUGUUCCUUUCUGAGACACUCUUGGACUCUCGAACAACUUUCCUCCAUCUUUGCUGUUGUUCAGUCAGCCAUGGCCAAUUGAUUUUAUACUCUCAUCCAAGAGUCACCUGACUCCAUUGGUGACAAGAGGAGCUACUAUCUGGACCAAGCCUCUUCAAGAACUAUCUCAGAUGAGUUGGUACCCAACACAUAGCAAGUGUGCAAUACUUAUGAUUGAAUUAAACAGAAUAUUACCCUAGGUGGUUGGGGCAAAAAGUGAAAAUAAAAAUCUCUCAGAUUAAACACUUAGGUAGGUUCAUUCUUUCCUUGCCUCCAAAGUACAAAGUAUCUGCCUGUACCCAUGACAUCUUGCAAAAUAAGUCAGUGGCACAGUUCUGUUCCUGAAGAUACUGUCUUCAUAUCUACAAAGCUGUUGUCUAUGUAGGUUAUAUUUAAUGUAGGAAAAAAAAUCAUCACUAUUAGCACAAGUGGCCAAGUGAGCUUUGCUGUUUUAGCUCUUAUACUGUUCUCCUUCUAGUCUCCUUGAGUUAAGUCCGUAAUGUAGGGAUGAUUAGGAAAAAGAGAAGGAAAAAAUGAUGAAAAAUGUUUUAGUUGUUGGCAGAAAUUACCAACUAGGAUGUGGGAAAGAUUAAUUCAUGUUAUCCUAUUUAACGGAAUCUAUCGUCCCUACCACUGUGAAAUAAGAAAGCAAAUAAAAUAUAAGUGAAUAAAGCAUAAUCAAAUAUAUUUCUUGGAAAUGUACUUUAUACAGGAUUAAUACAGAUUCUUGAACCAUCUCUUUGUUGACAAGAAUCCACAUAUUCAGUAAUUGCUUUGGUACAACUGGAUAACUAUGAAAAUGUUUAAACUUAAUUCUCUUCCUGACAUUAUACAUUAAGUUCUAGAUAUGCUAAAGGUACAUAAAGAAAACAUAAUGAAUAUAUUAUAAAUUGGGACAGAGCUGGUCUUUCCGGAUGUGACACCAAAGAACGAGCCCUCCUAAGAGGUCAGGAGGGAAUAGAUAGAACUGGCUGUGUUAUACAGUCACGUCUCCAUACGAAAGACACUAUAAAUAAAACAGAAAGGAAAAUUAUAAAAACUGGAAAGAAAUUUGCACCAUGAGACAAAGAACAAGUCUGGGGGAAAUGGGGGAGAUGAUUUUUAAAAGCCAUUCGCGUAGCCAAUGCGUGUAUUCAAAGUGUACACUAGUGAUUGAUACUGUCCAAGAUACAGAAAAACAGGUUUUAAAAAUAACAGUGCUCAGGAGUUCCCCUUGCGGCUCAGUGGUAAUGAACCUGACUACUAUCCAUGAGGAUGUGAGUUCAAUCCCUGGCCUCACUCAGUGGGUUAAGGAUUUGGCAUUGCCCUGAGCUGUGGCGUAGGUUGCAGAUGCAGCUCGGAUCCGGUAUUGCUGUGGCUGAAGCAUAGGCUGGCAGCUGCAGCUCCACUUCAGCCCCUAGUCUGGAACCUUCCCUGUGCCA